AGUGAAACUGCGAAUGGCUCAUUAUAUAAGUUAUCGUUUAUUUGAUAUUGCCUAUCCUACAUGGAUAACAGUGGUAAUUCUAGAGCUAAUACAUGCUGAAAAUCCCGACUUCGGAAGGGACGUAUUUAUUAGAAUCAGAACCAAUGCCCUUCGGGGUUCCUUGGUGACUCAUGAUAACUCCACAGAUCGCAUGGCCUUGCGCCGGCGAUGGCUCAUUCAAAUUUCUUCCCUAUCAACUUUCGACGGUACGGUAUUGGCCUACCGUGGUUGUAACGGGUGACGGAGGGUUAGGGCUCGACCCCGGAGAGGGAGCCUGAGAAACGGCUACCACAUCCAAGGAAGGCAGCAGGCGCGCAAAUUAUCCAAUCCCGACACGGGGAGAUAGUGACAAUAAAUACCGAUACAGGGCUCUUUUGGGCCCUGUAAUUGGAAUGAGUACAAUUUAAACCUCUUAACGAGGAACAAUUGGAGGGCAAGUCUGGUGCCAGCAGCCGCGGUAAUUCCAGCUCCAAUAGCGUAUAUUAAAGUUGUUGUGGUUAAAAAGCUCGUAGUCGAACCUCGAGCCUGGCCGACCGGUCCGCCUCACCGCGUGCACUGGCCUGGCCGGGCUCUUCCCUCUGCGGAACCGCAUGUCCUUCACUGGGCGUGUCGGGGAGGCAGGACUUUUACUUUGAAAAAAUUAGAGUGCUCAAGGCAGGCCAAUGCUCGAAUACAUUAGCAUGGAAUAAUAGAAUAGGACGUUGGUUCUAUUUUGUUGGUUUCUAGGACCGCCGUAAUGAUCAAUAGGGACGGUCGGGGGCAUCAGUAUUCAGCCGUCAGAGGUGAAAUUCUUGGACCGGCUGAAGACUAACUACUGCGAAAGCAUUUGCCAAGGACGUUUUCGCUGAUCAGGAACGAAAGUUAGGGG
rnacentral:rRNA from 1 species